CGGACGGGUGAGUAACGCGUGAGAAUCUACCUUCAGGUUCGGGACAACCACUGGAAACGGUGGCUAAUACCGAAUGUGCCGAGAGGUGAAAGGCUUGCUGCCUGAAGAAGAGCUUGCGUCUGAUUAGCUAGUUGGUGUGGUAAAGGCGCACCAAGGCGACGAUCAGUAGCUGGUCUGAGAGGAUGAUCAGCCACACUGGGACUGAGACACGGCCCAGACUCCUACGGGAGGCAGCAGUGGGGAAUUUUCCGCAAUGGGCGAAAGCCUGACGGAGCAAUACCGCGUGAGGGAGGAAGGCUCUUGGGUUGUAAACCUCUUUUCUCAGGGAAGAAAAAAAUGACGGUACCUGAGGAAUAAGCAUCGGCUAACUCCGUGCCAGCAGCCGCGGUAAUACGGAGGAUGCAAGCGUUAUCCGGAAUGAUUGGGCGUAAAGGGUCCGCAGGUGGCAUUGUUUGUCUGCUGUUAAAGAGUUUGGCUCAACCAGAUCAAAGCAGUGGAAACUACAAAGCUAGAGUAUGGUCGGGGCAGAGGGAAUUCCUGGUGUAGCGGUGAAAUGCGUAGAUAUCAGGAAGAACACCGGUGGCGAAGGCGCUCUGCUAGGCCAAAACUGACACUGAGGGACGAAAGCUAGGGGAGCGAAUGGGAUUAGAUACCCCAGUAGU
rnacentral:rRNA from 1 species